rnacentral:lncRNA from 1 species
CCGCGCUCGUUCCCCGGACCCCGUCCUCCAGACGCCGACCUCCGUCCGUGGGAGCUGGGCUGGGCCUCGGGGGCGGGAUCUCGUGGCCCCUCUGGAGCCGGGGGAGCCCUCCCCACUUCCGGUGCAUCUUCCUGUUGGGGGCCUGCGGGGAGAAGGUCGGGAAUGCCCCCGCCUGUGUUAGGUAAAACCUUGAAUCCGGGCGUGGUGGCACACGUCUGCAGUAGUCUGAGCCUGGUGAGGCCGCGGGAGGAGAUCUCUGCGAGUCCAUGGCUAUUUAUAGUGAGUUCUUGGCCAGCCUGCACUGCAUAGCGCGUCCCUGUCUAAAAAAAGAAAAAGGCUUGAACGACAGCUUUGUGGGCUCCACCCCGGUGCGUGCCCGUCGCCGCUAAGCCCACUCCUUUUCUGGCCUCCGUUUCCCCAUCUAAGUGCGCAGUGGCGUGGACCUAACAGUUACUGUUGAUCAGGCCAUGGCCAGUAAACAUCGGAACAUCUUCGGUCCCGUUCCCCGCCAGCGGGCAAGCCUUAACAAGAUUUGGGAUUUUUCUCUUGCUAAUCUGUGUGUUCCCAACCCCCGGACUCUGCUGGCCCGUAGUAAAUACCCAUUCGGUGGAUUUCUCCCCCGGGAAACGCCUUGUGGGAGGGGAGCUGUCCGUAUUACAGUGGCGCUUGAGGCUACAAGCCCAAGUACCUCCAGCUCAAGGAGAGGCUGGAAGAUGAGUUCCCCGGAUGCCUGGCCAUCUGUGGUGAGGGGACGCCCCAGUCCACCGGCUUCUUUGAAGUGUCAGUAG